rnacentral:rRNA from 1 species
UACGUAGGGUGCGAGCGUUAAUCGGAAUUACUGGGCGUAAAGCGUGCGUAGGCGGUCCCGCAAGUCCGCUGUGAAAGCCCCGAGCUUAACUUGGGAACUGCAGUGGAAACUAUGGGACUUGAAUCCGGCAGAGGGGUGUGGAAUGCCACGUGUAGCAGUGAAAUGCGUAGAGAUGUGGCGGAACACCGAUGGCGAAGGCAGCCCCCUGGGCUGAGAUUGACGCUCAGGCACGAAAGCGUGGGGAGCAAACAGG